GACGAACGCUGGCGGCGUGCCUAAUACAUGCAAGUCGAGCGGAACUUAGAAAGCUUGCUUUCUAAGUUUAGCGGCGGACGGGUGAGUAACACGUGGGCAACCUGCCUAUAAGACUGGGAUAACUUCGGGAAACCGGAGCUAAUACCGGAUAAUAUAAAAGAUCACAUGGUCUUUUAUUGAAAGAUGGCUUCGGCUAUCACUUAUAGAUGGGCCCGCGGCGCAUUAGCUAGUUGGUGAGGUAAUGGCUCACCAAGGCGACGAUGCGUAGCCGACCUGAGAGGGUGAUCGGCCACACUGGGACUGAGACACGGCCCAGACUCCUACGGGAGGCAGCAGUAGGGAAUCUUCCGCAAUGGACGAAAGUCUGACGGAGCAACGCCGCGUGAGCGAUGAAGGCCUUCGGGUCGUAAAGCUCUGUUGUUAGGGAAGAACAAGUAUCGUUCGAAUAGGGCGGUACCUUGACGGUACCUAACCAGAAAGCCACGGCUAACUACGUG
rnacentral:rRNA from 1 species